rnacentral:rRNA from 1 species
AACGAAUGCUGGCGGCGUGGAUUAGGCAUGCAAGUCGAACGGGUUGGGUAGCAAUACUCAAUCAGUGGCGAAAGGGUGAGUAACACGUGAGUAAUCUGCCUUUAGGAUUGGGAUAACUUCGCGAAAGCGAAGCUAAUACCGAGUGUGACCACAUUUUCUUCGGAGAGUGUGGUGAAAGGAUGGCCUCUAUUUAUAAGCUAUCGCCUUUAGAUGAGCUCGCGGUAAUUAGCUAGUUGGUAGGGUAAUGGCCUACCAAGGCUAUGAUGUAUAGCUGGCCUGAGAGGGUGGUCAGCCACACUGGGACUGAGACACUGCCCAGACACCUACGGGUGCUGCAGUCGAGGAUCUUUCGCAAUGGGGAAACCCUGACGAAGCGACGCCGCGUGAGCGAUGAAGGCC